rnacentral:rRNA from 1 species
CCUACGGGGGGCUGCAGUGAGGAAUAUUGGUCAAUGGGAGAGAUCCUGAACCAGCCAAGCCGCGUGAGGGAAGACGGCCCUAUGGGUUGUAAACCUCUUUUGUCGGAGAACAAAACCCGGGACGUGUCCCGGACUGCGUGUAUCCGAAGAAAAAGCAUCGGCUAACUCCGUGCCAGCAGCCGCGGUAAUACGGAGGAGGCGAGCGUUAUCCGGAUUUAUUGGGUUUAAAGGGUGCGUAGGCGGUCCGUUAAGUCAGCGGGAAAAUUGCGGGGCUCAACCCCGUCGAGCCGUUGAAACUGGCAGACUUGAGUUGGCGAGAAGUACGCGGAAUGCGCGGUGUAGCGGUGAAAUGCAUAGAUAUCGCGCAGAACUCCGAUUGCGAAGGCAGCGUACCGGCGCCAGACUGACGCUGAGGCACGAAAGCGUGGGGAUCGAACAGGAUUAGAUACCCCAGUAGUC